AGAGUUUGAUCCUGGCUUAGGAUGAACGCUGGCGGCGUGCUUAACACAUGCAAGUCGAACGGAGUUUUAACGGAAGUUUCGGAUGGAAGUUUAGAAACUUAGUGGCGGACGGGUGAGUAACGGCGUGGGUAACCUGCCUCAUACAGGGGGAUAACAGUUAGAAAUGACUGCUAACACCGCAUAAUAUAGCGAAACCGCAUGAUUUUGCUAUCAAAUAUUUAUAGGUAUGAGAUGGGCCCGCGUCUGAUUAGCUAGUUGGUGGGGUAAAGCCUACCAAGGCGACGAUCAGUAGCCGGCUUGAGAGAGUGACCGGCCACAUUGGGACUGAGACACGGCCCAAACUCCUACGGGAGGCAGCAGUGGGGAAUAUUGGACAAUGGGGGAAACCCUGAUCCAGCGAACCGCCGCGUGAGUGAAGAAGUAUUUCGGUAUGUAAAGCUCUAUCAGCAGGGAAGAUAAUGACAGUACCUGACUAAGAAGCCCCGGCUAACUACGUGCCAGCAGCGGC
rnacentral:rRNA from 1 species